GCAUGCCUUACACUUGCAAGUCGAACGGUAGAGGGGCAACCCUCGAGAGUGGCGAACGGGUGAGUAACGCAUCGGAACGUGCCCAGUCGUGGGGGAUAACACUUCGAAAGAAGUGCUAAUACCGCAUACGACCUGAGGGUGAAAGCGGGGGAUCGCAAGACCUCGCGCGAUUGGAGCGGCCGAUGUCAGAUUAGGUAGUUGGUGGGGUAAAGGCCUACCAAGCCGACGAUCUGUAGCUGGUCUGAGAGGACGACCAGCCACACUGGGACUGAGACACGGCCCAGACUCCUACGGGAGGCAGCAGUGGGGAAUUUUGGACAAUGGGGGCAACCCUGAUCCAGCCAUGCCGCGUGAGUGAAGAAGGCCUUCGGGUUGUAAAGCUCUUUCGGCCGGGAAGAAAUCGCUUCGGCUAAUACCUGGAGUGGAUGACGGUACCGGAAGAAGAAGCACCGGCUAACUACGUGCCAGCAGCCGCGGAAAUACGUAGGGUGCGAGCGUUAAUCGGAUUACUGGGCGUAAAGCGUGCGCAGGCGGUUUCGUAAACAGAUGUGAAAU
rnacentral:rRNA from 1 species